rnacentral:rRNA from 1 species
GACGAACCGCGCGAACGUUGUUCGGAAUCACUGGGCUUAAAGGGCGCGUAGGCGGGCUUUCAAGUUUGGGGUGAAAUCCUCCGGCUCAACCGGAGAACUGCCUCGAAUACUGAAGGUCUCGAGGGGGAUAGGGGCAUGCGGAACUACGGGUGGAGCGGUGAAAUGCGUUGAUAUCCGUAGGAACUCCGGUGGCGAAGGCGGCGUGCUGGAUCCCUUCUGACGCUGAGGCGCGAAAGCCAGGGGAGCAAACGGG